CCUACGGGAGGCAGCAGUAGGGAAUAUUGCUCAAUGGGGGAAACCCUGAAGCAGCAACGCCGCGUGGAGGAUGAAGGUUCUCGGAUUGUAAACUCUCUUUGUUAGAGAAGAUAAUGACGGUAUCAAACGAAUAAGCACCGGCUAACUCCGUGCCAGCAGCCGUGGUAAUACGGAGGGUGCAAGCGUUACUCGGAAUCACUGGGCGUAAAGAGCGUGUAUGCGGGAUAGCAAGUCAGCUGUGAAAUCCUUUGGCUUAACCAUAGAGGUGCAGUUGAAACUGUUAGUCUUGAGUAUGGGAGAGGUAGGUGGAAUUCGUGGUGUAGGGGUAAAAUCCGUAGAGAUCGGGAAGAACACCGGUGGCGAAGGCAGCCUACUGGGCUCAAACUGACGCUGAGGCACGAAAGCGUGGGUAGCAAACAGGAUUAGAUACCCGAGUAGUC
rnacentral:rRNA from 1 species